GGCUGGCCUGUGGAACAAGUGACCAAAAAUAAUAUAGUUUUAUUACAUGGUACUUUUUAUGGUUAUAAUUAGUACACUUUUUUAUAAUAGGAGAAGGAAGUAUAGGAUCUUGGACCAAGGAAACAGACAGGACCACUUGUUCAAGAAGGAGAGAAUUUUAAAUACGCCUGGAAGAAGAAACGACUGCUAUGCAGUACUAAAUAAAGCUAGGGUAUCCCGCUCUCUCCCGCCUGUUUGAACAUCAGCCCAGGUCACAGGAGUACCAGGAGGAAGGGCAGACCGCUGCAUCAUCUGAUAAGCGAAGUCCUACUCUGCAGGAGUUAAGUAAGUGGCCGGGUCGGAAGACCAAAACCUGAUUGCAGGGUGGAUCUCCCUGCUUGUCCUUUUCAGAGUGGAGGGAGAGAGGAGGAGCCCCCUGGAGGCAUAUUGUGGACCUAGAGAGAUCUAGCUGGCAACCGGGAAAUAGUUGCAAUUUAAACCCCAGGAUUAGGGGGUUUUGUAUCAAGUUCAAAAUGAGUAAAGGGGAGCUAAAUUGGACUGCAGGAAUCUGGACACUGGAGGCCGUGGAAGGCCAGGUGAUUAUACAGCUGUAUCGUGGAUAUACACUUUCGCUUUUCAAGUAUAUGGUUCAGGACAUUGGAGGACUUAAUAAUCUGGUUCAGUUGGAACUGUAAUACUUACCUUGCUGCUGAAAAUCUGUGCACUUUAGUGUAGGCUUGUACUGUGUUGUUAAGGGUUUAUAACAUGUUUAGGAUAUUCAUUGAUAGAUGCUGUAUAGUGGUGAUAUAUUUGAUCCUUUUUAUUGUGCAUGAUUUUACUGUUAACUGCAUUUAUCAUUGUCAUAAAGUAAGUUUUACUUACUGGUC